rnacentral:rRNA from 1 species
CCUACGGGAGGCAGCAGUGGGGAAUUUUGGACAAUGGGCGCAAGCCUGAUCCAGCAAUGCCGCGUGAGUGAAGAAGGCCUUCGGGUUGUAAAGCUCUUUUGUCAGGGAAGAAACGGUGGUUCCUAAUACGGACUACUAAUGACGGUACCUGAAGAAUAAGCACCGGCUAACUACGUGCCAGCAGCCGCGGUAAUACGUAGGGUGCAAGCGUUAAUCGGAAUUACUGGGCGUAAAGCGUGCGCAGGCGGUUAUAUAAGUCAGAUGUGAAAUCCCCGGGCUCAACCUGGGAACUGCAUUUGAGACUGUAUGGCUAGAGUGUGUCAGAGGGGGGUAGAAUUCCACGUGUAGCAGUGAAAUGCGUAGAUAUGUGGAGGAGUACCGAUGGCGAAGGCGCCCCUCGGAGUAACACUGACGCUCAUGCACGAAAGACGUGGGGAGGCAACAAGGAUUAGAUACCUCGUAGUCCACGCCUAAACCGAAUGUCUACUAGUUGUCGGGACGUUAAUUGUCUUGGUUAACGCAGCGACGACGUGAGUAGACGACCGCGGAGGUAAGGUCGUCGAGAAGUAAAGUUAACGUUAAAGAAGUUAGUUAGGCGNGAGAGAGCGACGACGACGACGAGGAGGAGGAG